ACCGGAAAACCAUCAUCCACGCGCCCCCACGCGCCGGCUAUACCCUCGGCGCGUGAGCCCACGUGCCGGCGCGUGAGGGCAGUUCCGGCCAGUUUUUCAGUUCGCUCCUUCAGGACAGUUUGGUCGGCCUUCGAUUCCGAUCCUACCCAUACCUUUUUCGUUCGAUUCCGACAACUUCCAAUUUUUUCCAGCGACUUUAUUGACUUUUCCGGCAGCUACAGUACUUUCCGGCCAGAAUUUCUUCAGGACAGUUUUCUCAACCUUGAAUUCCGAGCCUAUCCAUAUUUUUAUUUUUCAAUUCCGACAACUUUUAAUUUUUCCGGCAGCUACAGUACUUUUCCGGCAGCGCCAGUUUUCAGUUCUCUGUUUCAGUUUCAGCGAGUUUUCAGUUGAUAAUCCAAAGAUGUCUUUGAGACUAGAUGCUUUCGGGUCUAGAAACCAGGGUUCUGGCAGUUCCGGUAUUAUGAUUACCUCAGAACCUUUAAUGGGAGGUUCAAACUACCUAGCUUGGGNNNN
rnacentral:lncRNA from 1 species